AUUGAACGCUAGCGGGAUGCUUUACACAUGCAAGUCGAACGAGCGGCGGACGGGUGAGUAAUGUAUGGGGACUGCCCGAUAGAGGGGGGUAACUACUGGAAACGGUAGCUAAUACCGCAUACUAUCGGAUAACCCAUAUGCGUUUGUCUAGUAGGUGAGGUAAUGGCUAACAUAGGCGACGAUCCCUAGCUGGUCUGCGAGGAUGAUCGGCCACACUGGGACUGAGACACGGCCCAGACUCCUACGGAGGCAGCAGUGGGGAAUAUUGCACAAUGGGCGCAAGCCGGAUGCAGCCAUGCCGCUGGGAUGAAGAAGGCCCUAGGGUUGUAAAGUACUUUCAGUCGGGAGGCGUUACCGACAGAAGAAGCACCGGCUAACUCCGUGCCAGCAGCCGCGGUAAUUC
rnacentral:rRNA from 1 species